rnacentral:rRNA from 1 species
AGCAGCCGCGGUAAUUCCAGCUCCAAUAGCGUAUAUUAAAGUUGUUGCAGUUAAAAAGCUCGUAGUUGAAUUUCGGGAUUAGUACGCUGGUCGUGCCUUCGGUAUGUACUGGUGUUACUGGUUCCUACCUUCUGACGAACCGUCAUGUCAUUAAUUUGGUGUGGCGGGGAAUCAGGACUGUUACUUUGAAAAAAUUAGAGUGUUUAAAGCAGGCUCGCGCUUGAAUACAUUAGCAUGGGAUAAUGAAAUAGGACGUUCGAUCCUAUUUUGUUGGUUUCUAGGAUUGACGUAAUGAUUAAUAGGGAUAGUUGGGGGCAUUAGUAUUCAAUUGUCAGAGGUGAAAUUCUUGGAUUUAUUGAAGACUAACUACUGCGAAAGCAUUUGCCAAGGAUGUUUUCAUUAAUCAAGAACGAAAGUUAGGGGAUCGAAGACGAUCAGAUACCGUCGUAGUCUUAACCAUAAACUAUGCCGACUAGGGAUCGGAUGAUGUUAUUUUUAAUGACUCAUUCGGCGCCUUACG